GAAAGGUGGUAUCCCGAGCGGGACUGCUCGCCAUUGUUGUCACAUCUCGCGUCUCCCGGAGCCUGUUUCAUCUCGCGGCGGUGUGAGUGAUGUCAGAGAGUGAAGAUGGAAGUAUCUUGGGAGGCAGCGGACCUUUAGAAAUGAAUAUUGUCAGUUUGCCCAAGAUGGAUGCAGCUCAGCUUGACCAACUUGGGCUUAACGAAGCAGCUGGGGCCCUCGGCACCAGCCUGACUUCCUUGGGUGCCGCUUCACAACACUAUGUUCCUGUGUCUUCGGGCAGUACGCAGACACUCCUGGAGGGUGUUAUCGCACAGGGAUCCCGUGCACUGAGUAAUGUUAGUCCAGCAGUGACCUUCACCACGGCAGGGAAUAGUGCGCAAGAUUCCUAUGGCAGCCUAGAAUAUGUCACUCAGAUGCCUCUGCAAGAUGACCAGCAAGGAAAGUUUCAAGAUACCCUUGUUGCUGUAAACAAUGUUGCAUUUGUGGAAAUGAGUGAUGCAGCCAUGAAAGGAGCAACCUCAUCAGCACCAUUGGAACUAUACUUUGACGUAAUGAAUCCAACCACCACUGCUGCUCCUACGACUUCCAGUGUCCACCAUGUUCGGCAUGAGCACCAGAAUCCAAAAACCCAGCUGCUUGAAAGGGCGUAUUCUGACAUUUUGUUCCAGCAGCAAGAAGAGCAGCAGCAGCAACAAGCACAAGAACAAGAACAACCCAAUCACAUCAUGUCAGAUGUUUCAACAAAUCUUGUUCAGCUAGAUCAUGAUGGACUGCCACACGUCUUGCAUGAAUAUAGAAAACCAAAUAAGCUGGAGAUUCAGAAAAGACAGUUACAGCAACACUUACAACAGCAGCAACAGCAACAAAGACAACUUCAACACCAGCAGCAGCAUCAAGAACAGCAACAGCAUCAACAAAGACAGUUGCAACUUCCACAUAGGCUACAGCAGCAACCGAAGGCAUUUCAAUUUCAACAGCCACAGCAGCGACAAGUACAGCAGCAACAGCAAGUACAUCAACAACAGCAAAAACAUCAGCACCACCAGCAGCAGCAACAACAACAACAAACUCAGUUGCAACACCAGCAAAAACAGUUCUUGCAACAAAUAACAAAAACACACGACCAGAAUAAUCAGGAUGGCCAAGAACAGCAACAACAACAGAUUGCUAUUCAACACAUGCCUCUUGUCUCCCGCAGCGGCCGGCCUAUCCGGCGCCGGCCAGAGUAUAUGGAGUAUGUAAGUCAAAACUUGAAAGAGGAAGAAAUUCUACCACAGCUACCUGAGCAGCUAGUCAAAGUCGAGACUAUGGUUAUAAGUGCCGACUAUGAGGAGGAGGACCCUAUGGAAGAAGCAUUGGAGGAUGACGAUCCAAUGGAUGAGGAGAUAGACUCAAAUGACGAAGACCCCGAGACUAGUGGUAACUAUACCACUGAUGGGAAGAAAUCUCUGCCACACAAGAAAAGAAUUCCCAAGAAACUAAAAACUACAAAGAAGCACGUGAAGUGUUACAAGUGUACGCAAUGUGGCGAUCAAUUUACCAAUCAGCAGCAGUUUGCGGCACAUAAGCAGACACAUACGCCACCUGCGCUCAAACCUAAGCCCUUCAAGUGUGAAAUCUGUGCAAAGGCAUUUGAUAGUCAACUUAAAUUUUUUGAACAUUUAAAAGGUCACUAUGAACCAUACAAAAAACACAAGUGUGAAGUUUGCGGAGGUGAGUUUGAAAGUGCUGAAGCAUUGCAGGAGCAUUCGCUGGUCCAUUCGAGGGAGCAUUUUACAUGUGAACUAUGCAACAAAACAUUCCGUAAAGAGAGCAUGCUGGAAGUUCAUUUAAAAGUUGCUCACAUGGAGGAAACGGAAACAAAUCCCAUUGAUAAACCUUACUCAUGUGUUGCAUGUCCCAAAAGUUACCGCACCCAGAUGGCACUCGAUUCCCAUGUCCAAUCCGAACAUAGUGAAAAUCCGCCGGAAUUUAACUGUGAAGAUUGCUAUAGGGUCUUCAAAUCCAAAACAAAGUUAUUGACCCAUAGGAAAACGGAACACAAAGAAGAACCGCAAAAUAAAGGAGCGCCCAAAAAAAAGAUAAAGAUUGGGAAGGCUGUAAAAGGAGGCUACGCUUGUACCAUGUGCCCGAGGGUGUUCACACACAAGAACUCUCUUGUCUAUCACAUUCGAGGACAUACAGGUGAGAGGCCUCAUCAGUGUGAGCAGUGUGGGAAAGCGUUUUAUGCUGCAAGUGCGUUAAAGGUCCACCAGAGACUUCAUAGUGGGGAAAAGCCUUACAAGUGUCAACUCUGUGAAAAAUUCUUCAGACAGUGGGGCGAUCUUAGAUACCAUACGACGUCAGUUCAUUCUGAUGACAGGCAGUAUCAAUGCGAGUAUUGUGGGAAGGACUUCAAACGCAAGUACUGUUUGGUGGUGCACCGAAGAAUCCACACGGGGGAGAAGAACUAUAAGUGUGAGCAUUGCAACAAGGCGUUCAGGGCGGCAUCGUAUCUUCAGAAUCACAAGAGAAUCCACACAGGCGAACGUCCACACGCAUGCCCUGAUUGCGGAAAGCCCUUCCGUGUUCGAUCAGACAUGAAGCGGCAUCGUCAAACCCACAUGCGGGAAGCGGGAAUUACUGGGAGUGGGGUUGCGACACCUGCAUCAAGUCACGUUAACCAAGGCGGUACUCAGACACCAGUUCCACCUAUACCUGGACAGAUUGUACCUGGAACGAUAACUCAAGUGACCCCCCAACCUCAGCUGAUCUUAUCUGAUGAGGUGUCAGUACCUGGAAGCACAACUCAUCCCAUUAGGAUAAUGGUGUCCAGUAUAAACGGACAACAGGUAGCUGCGGUUCACCCCCCACCAGCUCACAGACAAUCUCAGCAUGUAACGGUUCCGGUAUCGGGGAGCAUAGCGACAAUAACUACUGGCCCCGUAUCUCCUGGUGGCACGACAACCACUCUGAGUCCCGAGGUUAUUAUUAUGGAUGAUAACACCCAUCAACCCAUCAAUCUAAAUAUCAUUCCUCGCAUGAUGACGCAAGAACAGGUGGCGUCCUCGCCCCAUGGAAGCCAUGCUACCUUGGUCACGACUGAUGAAGAGUAUCAACUUACCAGCUCUGGACGCAAUGCUCUUGAGGUCAGAGGAGAGGAGGGCAGCGUAUAUGUCUGGCAUGGGGUGUUUACAAAUUAAAAUUGAGGGGGUCCCUUGAUCAUUGACUCUGGUUUGUGCAGCCAGGGUUACAGCAUACACUUUGCCGUGUCACAAGCUGAGCGGCACUGUCGACACUUCCUAGUUGGAAUCCGUCAAUCCUCAUUUCCUUGGUCCCUUUUAUUAAGGGAACCAACUGUUUUAUUAUUUUUUCCUCUGACAUGUCUGUUGGAGUUGGAUCAGCCAGUCGGAUAUUAUCCCAUGCUCAUGAUAUGCAAAACUUCCAGAUACGAGGUUCAGACAUCAAUUUGUUAAGAGACUGAUGUUCAUCUCUGGUUUGGUCAGUAUGUCAUCGCUGCUCAUCACUGGUUGGAGCACAAGGACUGCUCGAGCUAUUUUUAUCUUGGACGGAAUCUCUACACGGCUUUCUUGAAGAGUGGCUUACAACUAUUUUUUCCUCCAAGAAGAAAGAUGCAGUCGACUUGUGUAGAUUUCAACGCCGAGGAACAAUUAGUUAAGGUAAUCUAGUUCGGUACCUGGUCUUCCAGAUACACUGGUUUCCAUUAACGGAAUUUUUACACUAGCAGUUGUAAUGGGAUAGAGUUGUAAGCAUGGCAUACAUGUUCAAUUGCUACCUCAGGUCGUAACGUUUUAUACUGUGGUACUUCAGAUCGUGUAUGACAACAGAACUAUAAAGGAUAAAUGCAAUAUUUAUAAUGUGAAAUUUUGUUGGUACUGUAGAUAUCAAAUUAAAUUAUAUUUUGAUCUGCUUGGCAGUAAUAUAUGUGAAAGGUACAGUAUAGUACUGUAAUUUUGUUUCUUGUGGAUAGAACUGGAACAACAUUCAUAUGUAUUGUGCAGAUGUUCAAACUAUUUAUGAUUUUUUUAAAUGUAAUGGAAAUUGUUCUAUCCUGUAUUUAGGUUGACGCAUGCAAUUGAUCAAUUUGACUUGUGCCUCUUGAACUAAGAUAGUAAUUAAGAAAUGAAUGAUACAUGUGAAGGUUCAGGAAGGUGUGUGUGCCACUUGAGCAACAGAAGUAACCUGAGGGGCAGCAAGCGUUGCCGACUUGUGAUGAACGCAAAGAAAUGGAGUUCGGUGCUUUUCGUGUCUCCGAGGUAUAUCCUAAGCUACCAAAAUAUUUUUUAUUAAUUUUUUAUCACUGAAAAAAAAGUAAAAAGGUUUCAAUGCCUUAUUUUUUAUUUUUUUUAUUUUUUAUAAAUACUUAUUUAUUGAUAUUAUAUUUUCUUAAACUUUUGCAGUCUCUUUCUCAUCACUAAUUUAUAUGCAACCUUGUAGAGUGAAAACAGUGAAUCAAGCUUCACACAAAGCUUCAAUAAAUCCUCAUCUGCUAAUCCUAUCUAUUGUUUGCAUGGUUUGGUAAUGUGCAGAAAGUCUCAAUAACGUUGCUGAAAAUUAAUACCCAACCCACACACACAUGAAAAGAUGAAAAGUGUUAAUGUUUCGGUCUGUCCUGAACCCUUUUCAUGUCGUAUCCAAGUUGAUAAAGGUUCAGGACAGACCAAAACAAAUUCACUUUAAUUUUCAUGUGUGUGGGGUUGGAUACUUAAUGAUCGUCGUAACAUAUGCUGUGCUGAAGCAAAAAAAAAAAAUCUGGUUGUUUGAAUCUUAGUAGUGAUAUCCCAUUUGCUGAUUAUGACACGCACUAUGCUCUCAAAACCCAUACUUCCAUAUAACGGAUCCCUCUAAAUAACAUAAAAUCUGCCCACCAGAUUUCUCUCCAAAAUUAUGAUUUCUCAAGAAAGAAUUCAGAUUCUGAAGAGGAUGCUGUGGACUUCAAACUGUUAAUUCGUGACAUUUUAUAAUUUUAGAGUUACAAUUUUCAUCAAAUUAUAACUCUUGUUCUUAUUUUUGCUAUAUCUUCAUUUUUAAUUUGUAAAUAUUAUUCAAAAUAAUUAUAUUUAACAAUUUGUUUUUACCAAACUUGAACUGUGCCAGAAUGUUGAAUUUUGUGAUGAAUUUUCCUAGACAUUCUCACCAACUGUUAGGCCAUGCAUACUGGCCUUGUGUUUCCUAGACAUUCUCACCAACUGUUAGGCCAUGCAUACUGGCCUUGUGUUUCCUAGACAUUCUCACCAACUGUUAGGCCAUGCAUACUGGCCUUGUGUUUCCUAGACAUUCUCACCAACUGUUAGGCCAUGCAUACUGGCCUUGUGUUUCCUAGACAUUCUCACCAACUGUUAGGCCAUGCAUACUGGCCUUGUGUUUUUCUUUGUGCGUGUGCGGCUGUUUGGUCUGACCUCUUGCUACUUGCGCAUUUCCACUGGCUUUUCUUUUAAUUUACCCAACCCCAGGCUGGGCAUGAAGAGUAGAGGAACCCCUAGAACCCACUUCAGAUACCUAUAUUGGGAGGUUGAAGCUAUGUAAGAAUGGCAUGGAGAACUUCAUGGUCAGUUCAGAGUGACUGCAGAAAUGUAGUAAACAUUGUGAUGUAAUACACGCUUUAAGUGUAUUUUGCUGACCUGAAUUGUCAAGACCAGCCUGUGCUAAGAAAAAGCCAAUGGAUAAAUUCAUGUUUUGGUAUUUUUUGGUGCAUAAUUAGAUUUAUACGUGCACAAUAAUUAUAUAUUGUUUGUGUGUCCGAAUAUGCUGUAACAUGUAUUAUAAUCAUUUGCUAAAAAAAAAGAAAUACAGGAAAUUGGUGGUAAAUAGCAAAGAAGGGGGCAAUUUCUCUCAAAUCCUGAUUGGGUCUGGAAUAGUACAAUCCAGUGUUUGGAGAUUGCAUUAUACUCAGAUCUCCACUUUGGCUCAUCCAUGGUGGUCUCUCUCUCCUCGUAGCUCAUCCACUACAACCUUCCUCCUGCAAAUUUCCCCACUCGUACCUUUCUUUUCCUGUUGACUCUGCCAUUAUUUUUUCCCAUAUCUCCAGUCUUACCCUAUGGCUCUCCCACUCCAACCCCCCACGUUGCCCCUCCAAUACAGUUUUUGUGUGCUUUUCUCCUACCACCCCCUUCUUUUGUCUUUUGUGGUGCUCUAUUAGAUAUUUAAAGGUUAUGGAUCUCUUGGAUCUCUUCCGCUUCCGGAGAGGAGCCGAGGACGCAGCAGGCGUUUCCCCUCUGGAUCCCCACAUUGGGGCACUGAAACAGGACACUGGCAGCCCUUGGGUCUCUGGUGAAGUCAAUGAGCCUGGAACUCAAUUCUUUGAGGAAUCCAAAGGCACUCCUACCCUAGGGGCCAUGCAUCUCAGACGCUAUGGGAACAAAGGUGUAUUGACCUUCUAGUCGCCUGUACUUAGUUGAUUUUGAUGUUUUCCUGUGGUUGGCUGCCCCACCUGUAUGAUCAGCACUGAAGUGUUUGUAGGUGUCAGCCAGGGCUGACACGUGUAGUCCCACACCAUCUGUCUGCCUCUCUUCCAGAGAUAUAUUGUGAUGCCAUCUGGGCAAAGUGUGGGAUCAUCUGGGUUUUGGCCUCCUAGGAUGCAAGGUUCUCUCUGAUGAGCACUGAGCUGAGGCACAACUCCUCUUGAUGAUGUCAUUGACCUUGUUGUGUCUUGCAUGCCCUUGGAUUUUCCACAGUGCAACCCAUGCAGUCCAUAUGGGUCUGCUUCCACCCUGUUGCAAAUACACUUGUAUUCAGUAUAAAUUGGGGCACCAAGAUGGAGGGCCACUGCUACACGAAGGGAUUCUGGAUCUAGACGUGUGGCCAUUGCCGACAUGGGUACUACUGGAAGGAAGUCUCCUACAUGGAGGGUAGACACAGCUCUGAGGGGGGGGGGACUUUCUCCUUGUCUGAUGCUGCAGUACUAAGCAUGGCAUUAGCUAUUUUUUCCACUAGUGGGUGGUCCCAGCUGGACUGUUUAUGUUAUUUGUUGGAUCUAUGAUGGGUGCUGGGGUUGCAGGAGCAUCCCACUGAUUUGAACAUUCAGUGAAAGCAGGAUCGUGUAUGCCUGUUAAAACACUCGGGGUUCAGGUAGGAUAUCUCUUACGAGGCUGUGCGAUGCAUGGGGAGGAGGAAAGGAAAGCUAGUAGAGCAAUCUGGGAGGCUGUGCGAACACAAAGGCCGCCAAGUUUUACAGAGAGGGUUGCUUGCUCCCAUUGAGAGUCGUCCAAAGGAAGGUUCAGGACUUUCACCAGCAUGGACCUCAGAAGGGUGUCAUACACAUUUAACUUGGGGCUGAUGUAGGAUGAACAACACCUCAAAAAGUAAGUCAACUUAGGGAGAGAUAAGCAUCUUGUGAGGAGGAAGAGAGCAUCAUGGGCAUCAAUCUUGUCAGUCCUGUCCAAAAUUCUUCUUAGGUCAGUGUUUUUUGCCUCCAGGACCACCUCGAUCGCUUGCGGGCCUAUGGGGGACCCCCAGGAGGGUGCAGACAACGAGAAUAUCUGGAAGAGCAGUUUUUCUUUGGCCAGUGAUGUCUGGGUUGUGGAAGACUAUUUUACAUUUGGAUGUAUUGAGAAUAAGGCCCAAGGCUACUCCUUGCUUCUGGAUUUUUCUUAUAUCCUCCAAAAUGGUAUCUGGGGUUCCGUCGAGAGUACCAUUAUCAAGGUACCACAUGUUUAGCUCACAUGUCAGACUAUCGGUGACCUCUUUGAUACUUAAGCAGAAAAGGAGAGGGGGGUCUAAGGGAUCACCUUGUUGGGCACCUUCACUGGAGUCUAUUUCAUGCUUUCCAAAAAGAAGCUUAGAGUCCCCACUGUAAUACAAUCAGAUGGGUAAAGGGGAAGGAAAUGGUUGUGUACAGCCCUGAGGACAGCAUCUCUUCUGACUUGAUUGAAGGCAUUUUUAAAGUCAAGUUUUACUAGUGCCUUUUGGUCCGAGGUGUCAGCAAUGUAAGCCCACACUGCAUGUGCUGCAGCUUCACAGCCUAGGGGAUACCAAACUCGAGCUGAUUAUGUUUCAGCAAGGUGGCUGCUUCCUGGCCGAGAGAUCUCACUACAGCCUUAGCUACGAGGCAUCGGAGGGUGUUGCCAAUGGCAAUGGGCCUGAUUCCCCCAUCCUUCUCCUUUAGAGCAGAGUGUUGCUCCUUAAAAGAGAGGCCUGAUGUCUACAGGCAUGCCGCCAGCCAAACACGUUGGAAAAUCUGGUAAGUUCCACUAGAAGGUUCUUUGCGGCAUCUCCAAGCACCGGGUUUCGGCAUUUGUUUGAUGUGCUGGAGGUCUUAGGCCUGUGAAGCCCACUGCUGAACCUGUUGGGAAAGACAUGGCUGCUUUGUACAUCUCAAAUUCUCGAAUAGUCAAGGGUUCUAUGCCAGUAUUGUUUUCCUGGGGAUUCCUGCUACUUUCUGGAGCUCUAUGUGGGUGUUUGUCCUGUUCCUGUAGAGCUCUUGCUGUCGUGGCAUUCCUGGGGCAAUAGAUUGGGAUGGGGGGCAGCUGUAUGUGCACCUGUACAUACAGAGGAACCUCUUUGUUUCCUCUAGGUUAUGCUAUCACAUAGAAAAAGUGUUUGUGUUCCACUUUGUGUAGAAUAUGACAUUAUAUGACAUACAUAUAUAUAUAUAUAUAUAUAUAU